ensembl:rRNA 5S_rRNA 5S ribosomal RNA
GCUUACGGCCAUACCACCCUGAACACGCCCGAUCUCAUCUGAUCUCGGAAGCCAAGCAGGGUAGGGCCUUGUUAGUACUUGGAUGGGAGACCGCCUGGGAAUACCAGGUGCUGUAAGCU